rnacentral:misc_RNA from 1 species
AGGAAGUCGAACUCUCAGGAACAACACUUACAACAUUUACAUCUUUGUAAUUCUCCAAAUUACAACCGGAUUCAUGGAUCUCAGGCAAAUGGGAUCUCAAGGACACAGUAGCAGAUUCAAGCUCUUGAUCUUCUACUACGUCAUCCUUCCCUUCUUGUUUCCUCUUCUUUUCUGCUCCCAGUAGCAUAGACCUCAGUUUUCUAGGAGACAGCUGUAAAUUUCUCUUGUCGAUUCUUUCAUACUCCAUAAAGGAUGAUUUCAAGCUUGUGGGUGUGACAGUAUCUCUGAGAAAAGAG